rnacentral:rRNA from 1 species
UACGAAGGGGGCUAGCGUUGCUCGGAAUUACUGGGCGUAAAGGGCGCGUAGGCGGAUAUUUAAGUUAGAGGUGAAAGCCCAGGGCUCAACCCUGGAACAGCCUUUAAUACUGGAUAUCUUGAGUUCGGGAGAGGUGAGUGGAACUCCGAGUGUAGAGGUGAAAUUCGUAGAUAUUCGGAAGAACACCGAUGGCGAAAGCAGCUUUCUGGGACAGUACUGACGCUGAGACGCGAAAGCGUGGGGAGCGAACAGG